UUCAAUAUUAUGACGCACCUCCUGGUUCACCUAGUCGAAGAGAUUUUCGUUCUCGGUCCUGUAUUUCUACACAAUAUGUUCCCCUUCGAGAGGUUCAUGGGAGUAUUAAAGAAAUAUGUUCGUAACCGUGCUAGGCCAGAAGGAAGCAUCGCCAAGGGCUAUGGAAAUGAGGAGGUAAUUGAGUUUUGUGUUGACUUUGUUCCUGACCUUAAGCCGAUUGGUCUUCCUCGAUCGCGGCACGAGGGGAGACUAAGUGGAAAAGGCACGAUCGGAAGGAAAUCAACGAUAUGUAUGGACGGCCAUUCUCUGACUGAAGCACACCAUACUGUACUGACCAAUUCCAGCUUGGUGGCUCCGUACUUUGAGAAACACAAGAAUAUUUUACGCUCGGACAACCCGGGGAAGCCUGAAUCCUGGAUUAGGAAGGCCCACAUGGAGACUUUCGGCAGUUGGUUGAGAAAACAUUUAAUGAAUAACAAUGAUGUUGUAGAUCAGCUGUACAUGUUGGCCAAGACACCAUCUUCGACUAUAACGACUUUCCAAGGGUACGAGAUAAAUGGGAAUACAUUUUACACGAUCACCCAAGAUAAAAAGAGCACCAACCAAAACAGUGGUGUCCGCUUUGAUGCAGCAACCGAGAAUGGGCAAAAGGUCACAUAUUAUGGUUACAUAGAGGAGAUAUGGGAACUUGACUAUGGAGCCUCCUUUAAGGUCCCUUUGUUCCGGUGCAAAUGGUUCAAGCUAACAGGAGGUGGGGUAAAGGUGGACCAGCAAUACGGAAUGACAAUGGUGGAUUUCAACAAUCUUGGUUACCUUGACGAACCAUUCGUCCUAGCGAAAGAUGUCGCUCAGGUUUUCUAUGUGAAGGACAUGAGUAGCAAACCGAGGAAACGGAAAGAUAAGAAAACGAUCAGUGCAUCAUGCGAUGAUCCAAAGCGCCACAUUGUUCUUUCAGGGAAAAGAAACAUCGUGGGAGUGGAGGACAAGACAGACAUGUCAGAAGAUUAUAAUAUGUUUGCUGAAAUUCCG
rnacentral:rRNA from 1 species